rnacentral:rRNA from 1 species
CCGGAGAUGGAUUUCUGAGACANGGAAUACAGGCCCUACGGGGUGCAGCAGGGCGCGAACACUUUACAAUGCGGGAAGCCGCGAUAAGGGAACCCCGAGUGCCAGCAUCAAAUGUUGGGCUGUCCGGAUGAUUAAAAAUCAUUUGUUAGCAAGGGCCGGGCAAGACCGGUGCCAGCCGCCGCGGUAACACCGNCGGCCCGAGUGGUAGCCGUUUUUAUUGGGUCUAAAGGGUCCGUAGCCGGCCUGAUAAGUCCUUUGGGAAAUCUGGCAGCUUAACUGUCAGGCUUCUAAGGGAUACUGUCAGGCUUGGGACCGGAAGAGGUAAGGGGUACUCCAGGGGUAGGAGUGAAAUCUUGUAAUACCCUGGGGGACCAUCUGUGGCGAAGGCGCCUUACCAGAACGGGUCCGACGGUGAGGGACGAAAGCUAGGGGAGCAAACCGGAUUAGAUACCCGGGUAGUCCUAGCUGUAAACGNAGCUCGNCUGAGGUGUCNA